AAUGAACGUUGGUGGCGUGGAUUAGGCAUGCAAGUCGUGCGAGAAGGCCCCGCAAGGGGCCGGACAGCGGCGAACGGGGUAGUAAGGCGUCGGUACGUGCCCUGGGGUCCGGGAUAGCGGCGGGAAACUGCCGGUAAUACCGGAUGACCUCUCCGGAGCAAAGGUGUGAUUCCGCCCUUGGAGCGGCCGACGCGAUACCAGCUAGAUGGCGGGGUAACGGCCCACCAUGGCUAAGACGUCUAGGGGGUGUGAGAGCAUGGCCCCCACCACUGGGACUGAGACACUGCCCAGACACCUACGGGUGGCUGCAGUCGAGAAUCUUCGGCAAUGGGCGCAAGCCUGACCGAGCGACGCCACGUGCGGGAUGACGGCCCUCGGGUUGUAAACCGCUGUCGGGGGGGAUGAAGUCGCGCGGGGCAAUCCCCGCGUGUUGACAGAGCCCCGGAGGAAGCGCGGGCUAAGUACGUGCCAGCAGCCGCGGUAAUAC
rnacentral:rRNA from 1 species